GGAGCCAAAAAGGUGAAAGCUGAAUGUCAACAGUUCAGGGAAUAUUGUAGGGCAGGAAAUGGAGAAGGGCACAUAAUCCAUUGAUAUAUAUCUUCCACUAUAAAGAAUCACAGCUGGGCUUCAUAUGCUAUAACUAAAGCAUAUAAGUAGAGCAAGAUAUUUUACAGCAAACAAGCUUACUGAAACUAUACCUGGAUGGGUCUUCAAACGAAUUAAGACAGUCCAUGCAGGGGUUCCUCUUACAACAACUUCACUGGGAAAGCUCAAGCUCACUUCCUACUGAAUGUGAUAGAGGGAGUUUUGUUGGACAAUGGGAAUCAGACCUAGGAGAACAGUUUCAUAUAUGGACCUCCAAGGGGAAGGACACCACAAUCAGAGACCACGGUUCAGUGCUAUGAACCUGCAACCAUGAAAUACUUGGGAGAUUACCCUGCAUUGACACCUGAUGAGGUCAAGGAGCGGGUAGCACUAGCAAGGAAGGCACAAAAAACAUGAGCAAAGAGUAGCUUCAAGCAAAGACGCCUGUUUCUUCGUAUUAUUCUCAAAUAUAUAGUAGAACACCAAGACCUUAUAGUGAGUUCAGUUAGAAAGAAAACAAUUGAUAA